rnacentral:rRNA from 1 species
CUUGGUCAUUUAGAGGAAGUAAAAGUCGUAACAAGGUUUCCGUAGGUGAACCUGCGGAAGGAUCAUUCAUAAUAAGUGUUUUAUGGCACUUUUAAAUCCAUAUCCACCUUGUGUGCAAUGUCAGUCGAUCUUCUUCAUGGAGAUCGACCAAACAUCAACCUUUAUUUUUUAACUCUUUGUCUGAAAAAUAUUAUGAAUAAACAAUUCAAAAUACAACUUUCAACAACGGAUCUCUUGGCUCUCGCAUCGAUGAAGAACGCAGCGAAAUGCGAUACGUAAUGUGAAUUGCAGAAUUCAGUGAAUCAUCGAAUCUUUGAACGCAUAUUGCGCUCUUUGGUAUUCCGAAGAGCAUGCUUGUUUGAGUAUCAGUAAACACCUCAAAGCUUUUGGAUUUUUUAAUCGAAAAGCUUUGGACUUGAGCAAUCCCAACACCAAUCUUUUUGAGAUCGGUGGCGGGUUGCUUGAAAUGCAGGUGCAGCUGGACAUUCUCCUGAGCUAAAAGCAUAUUCAUUUAGUCCCGUCAAACGGAUUAUUACUUUUGCUGCAGCUAACAUAAAGGGAGUUUGACCGUAUUGGCUGACUGAUGCAGGAUUUCACAAGGGUCGGCAACGAUUCUUGUUAAACUCGAUCUCAAAUCAAGUAAGACUACCCGCUGAACUUAAGCAUAUCAAUAAGCGGAGGA